rnacentral:rRNA from 1 species
UGAGUACGAGAUGCUACGGCAUCGAAGCAGUCUAUGUCAUACUUCCAAGAAAAGCUUGCACUGUCAGAAACAGAUAAUGCCUGUACCAUAACCGACACAGGUGGGUAGGUAGAGUAUACUAAGGGGCGCGAGAUAACUCUCUCUAAGGAACUCGGCAAAAUGACUCCGUAACUUCGGGAGAAGGAGUGCCUUAUUUUUAAGGUUGCAAUAACAAGAUCCAAGCAACUGUUUACCAAAAACACAGGUCUCCGCUAAGUCGUAAGACGAUGUAUGGGGGCUGACGCCUGCCCAGUGCCAGAAGGUUAAAGAAGUCGGUUAGCAUUCGCGAAGCUGGUAACUGAAGCCCUGGUGAACGGCGGCCGUAACGAUAACGGUCCUAAGGUAGCGAAAUUCCUUGUCGGGUAAGUUCCGACCCGCACGAAAGGCGUAAUGAUUUGGAUACUGUCUCGGAGAGGGGCUCGGUGAAAUAGACUUGUCUGUGAAGAUGCGGACUACCUGCACCUGGACAGAAAGACCCUAUGAAGCUUUACUGUAACUUGAAAUUGAAAUUGGACUUUAUUUGCGCAGUAUAGGUGGGAGGCGUUGAAAAUAUUCUUGCGGGAAUAUUGGAGCCAUCAGUGAGAUACCACUCUUGUAAUGUUAGAUUUCUAACUUUAUAUCAUUAUCUGGUUAAAGAACAGUUUCAGGCGGGCAGUUUGACUGGGGCGGUCGCCUCCCAAAUGGUAACGGAGGCGCACAAAGGUUUCCUCUGAACGGGUAGAAAUCGUAUCUAGAGUGUAAAGGCAUAAGGAAGCUUGACUGUGAGACCUACAAGUCGAGCAGGGACGAAAGUCGGUCUUAGUGAUCUGACGGUGCUGAGUGGAAAGGCCGUCACUCAACGGAUAAAAGUUACUCUAAGGAUAACAGGCUGAUCUCCCCCAAGAGUUCACAUCGACGGGGAGGUUUGGCACCUCGAUGUCGGCUCAUCGCAUCCUGGGGCGGUAGUACGUCCCAAGGGUUGGGCUGUUCGCCCAUGAAAGCGGUACGCGAGCUGGGUUCAGAACGUCGUGAGACAGUUCGGUCCAUAUCCGGUGUAGGCGUUAGAAUAUUGAGAGGAGCCUUCUUUAGUACGAGAGGACCGAGAAGGACAUACCUCUGGUGUACCAGUUAUCGUGCCAACGGUAAACGCUGGGUAGCUAUGUAUGGAGUGGAUAACCGCUGAAAGCAUCUAAGUGGGAAGCCCACCUCAAGAUAAGUAUUCUCA